rnacentral:rRNA from 1 species
GACGAACGCUGGCGGCGUGCUUAACACAUGCCAGUCGAACGGAAAGGCCCUGCUUUUGUGGGGUGCUCGAGUGGCGAACGGGUGAGUAACACGUGAGUAACCUGCCCUUGACUUUGGGAUAACUUCAGGAAACUGGGGCUAAUACCGGAUAGGAGCUCCUGCUGCAUGGUGGGGGUUGGAAAGUUUCGGCGGUUGGGGAUGGACUCGCGGCUUAUCAGCUUGUUGGUGGGGUAGUGGCUUACCAAGGCUUUGACGGGUAGCCGGCCUGAGAGGGUGACCGGCCACAUUGGGACUGAGAUACGGCCCAGACUCCUACGGGAGGCAGCAGUGGGGAAUAUUGCACAAUGGGCGGAAGCCUGAUGCAGCAACGCCGCGUGCGGGAUGACGACCUUCGGGUUGUAAACCGCUUUCGCCUGUGACGAAGCGUGAGUGACGGUAAUGGGUAAAGAAGCACCGGCUAACUACGU